rnacentral:rRNA from 1 species
UACGAAGGGGGCUAGCGUUGUUCGGAAUCACUGGGCGUAAAGCGCACGUAGGCGGAUGUGUCAGUCAGGGGUGAAAUCCCGGAGCUCAACUCCGGAACUGCCUCUGAUACAGCACGUCUUGAGUUCGAGAGAGGUGGGUGGAAUUCCUAGUGUAGAGGUGAAAUUCGUAGAUAUUAGGAAGAACACCGGUGGCGAAGGCGGCCCACUGGCUCGAUACUGACGCUGAGGUGCGAAAGCGUGGGGAGCGAUCCGG